GAUGCAACGCGAAGAACCUUACCUACUCUUGACAUCCAGAGAACUUUCCAGAGAUGGAUUGGUGCCUUCGGGAACUCUGAGACAGGUGCUGCAUGGCUGUCGUCAGCUCGUGUUGUGAAAUGUUGGGUUAAGUCCCGCAACGAGCGCAACCCUUAUCCUUUGUUGCCAGCGGUCCGGCCGGGAACUCAAAGGAGACUGCCAGUGAUAAACUGGAGGAAGGUGGGGAUGACGUCUAGUCAUCAUGGCCCUUACGAGUAGGGCUACACACGUGCUACAAUGGCGCAUACAAAGAGAAGCGACCUCGCGAGAGCAAGCGGACCUCAUAAAGUGCGUCGUAGUCCGGAUUGGAGUCUGCAACUCGACUCCAUGAAGUCGGAAUCGCUAGUAAUCGUGGAUCAGAAUGCCACGGUGAAUACGUUCCCGGGCCUUGUACACACCGCCCGUCACACCAUGGGAGUGGGUUGCAAAAGAAGUAGGUAGCUUAACCUUCGGGAGGGCGC
rnacentral:rRNA from 1 species